rnacentral:rRNA from 1 species
UGGGGAAUUUUGCACAAUGGGGGAAACCCUGAUGCAGCGACGCCGCGUGAUUUAGAAGGCCUUCGGGUUGUAAAAAUCUUUUGUAUGGGAAGAAAAUGACAGUACCAUACGAAUAAGGACCGGCUAAUUACGUGCCAGCAGCCGCGGUAAUACGUAAGGUCCGAGCGUUGUCCGGAAUCAUUGGGCGUAAAGGGUACGUAGGCGGAUAAGCAAGUUAGAAGUGAAAUCCUAUAGCUCAACUAUAGUAAGCUUUUAAAACUGCUAGGCUUGAGAGAUGGAAGGGAAAGUGGAAUUCCUAGUGUAGCGGUGAAAUGCGCAGAUAUUAGGAAGAAUACCGGUGGCGAAGGCGACUUUCUGGUCAUCAUCUGACGCUGCGGUACGAAAGCGUGGGUAGCAAACAGG